UACGUAGGGGGCAAGCGUUGUCCGGAUUUACUGGGCGUAAAGAGCGUGUAGGCGGCCAGGCAGGUCUGUUGUGAAAACUGGAGGCUUAACCUCCAGACGUCGACAGAAACCGUCUGGCUAGAGUCCGGAAGAGGAGAGUGGAAUUCCUGGUGUAGCGGUGAAAUGCGCAGAUAUCAGGAAGAACACCGAUUGCGAAGGCAGCUCGCUGGGACGUAACUGACGCUGAGACGCGAAAGCGUGGGGAGCAAACAGG
rnacentral:rRNA from 1 species